rnacentral:rRNA from 1 species
GGGGAAUUUUGGACAAUGGGGGAAACCCUGAUCCAGCAAUGCCUCAUGCAGGAUGAAGGCCUUCGGGUUGUAAACUGCUUUUGUACGGAACGAAAAACUCUGGGUUAAUACCCUGGAGUCAUGACGGUACCGUAAGAAUAAGCACCGGCUAACUACGUGCCAGCAGCCGCGGUAAUACGUAGGGUGCGAGCGUUAAUCGGAAUUACUGGGCGUAAAGCGUGCGCAGGCGGUUUUGUAAGACAGUGGUGAAAUCCCCGGGCUCAACCUGGGAACUGCCAUUGUGACUGCAAGGCUGGAGUGCGGCAGAGGGGGAUGGAAUUCCGCGUGUAGCAGUGAAAUGCGUAGAUAUGCGGAGGAACACCGAUGGCGAAGGCAAUCCCCUGGGCCUGCACUGACGCUCAUGCACGAAAGCGUGGGGAGCAAAC